GAUGAACGCUGGCGGCGUGCCUAAUACAUGCAAGUCGAGCGAAUGGAUUAAGAGCUUGCUCUUAUGAAGUUAGCGGCGGACGGGUGAGUAACACGUGGGUAACCUGCCCAUAAGACUGGGAUAACUCCGGGAAACCCGGGCUAAUACCGGAUAACAUUUUGAACCGCACGGUUCGAAAUUGAAAGGCGCCUUCGGCUGUCACAUAUGGAUGGACUCGCGUCGCAUUAGCUAGUUGGGGAGGUAACAGCUCACCAAGGCAACGAUGCGUAGCCGACCUGAGAGGGUGAUCGGCCACACUGGGACUGAGACACGGCCCAGACUCCUACGGGAGGCAGCAGUAGGGAAACUUCCGCAAUGGACGAAAGUCUGACGGAGCAACGCCGCGUGAGUGAUGAAGGCUUUCGGGUCGUAAAACUCUGUUGUUAGGGAAGAACAAGUGCUAGUUGAAUAAGCUGGCACCUUGACGGUACCUAACCAGAAAGCCACGGCUAACUACGUGCCAGCCGCCGCAGUAA
rnacentral:rRNA from 1 species